CUUUUUGACACAAAGGAUCCACUCCACGUCCAACCACACCUAAAGAAAUGCUUUGAAGGAGUUGCCAAGCUCACUUUUAAUCAUGAGAAAGAAAUUACCCACAUGGAGUCAGCAGAAAAUGAAAAAGUAGAGCUCGUGCUGCGAAUAAUUCCAGCAAGUGCCAAGGGGCUAGUUGAGAAAUGGCUUCAUGAGG
rfam:Struthio camelus australis contig36096, whole genome shotgun sequence.